rnacentral:rRNA from 1 species
CCUACGGGAGGCAGCAGUGGGGAAUUUUGGACAAUGGGCGCAAGCCUGAUCCAGCAAUGCCGCGUGAGUGAAGAAGGCCUUCGGGUUGUAAAGCUCUUUUGUCAGGGAAGAAACGGUGGAGGUUAAUACCUUCUGCUAAUGACGGUACCUGAAGAAUAAGCACCGGCUAACUACGUGCCAGCAGCCGCGGUAAUACGUAGGGUGCAAGCGUUAAUCGGAAUUACUGGGCGUAAAGCGUGCGCAGGCGGUUGUGCAAGACAGAUGUGAAAUCCCCGGGCUCAACCUGGGAAUUGCAUUUGUGACUGUACGGCUAGAGUGUGUCAGAGGGGGGUAGAAUUCCACGUGUAGCAGUGAAAUGCGUAGAGAUGUGGAGGAAUACCGAUGGCGAAGGCAGCCCCCUGGGAUAACACUGACGCUCAUGCACGAAAGCGUGGGGAGCAAACAGGAUUAGAUACCCUGGUAGUCCACGCCCUAAACGAUGUCUACUAGUUGUCGGGUUACUUAAUUGACUUGGUAACGCGAGCUACGACGUGAAGUAGACCGCCGUGGGAGGUACGGUCGCGAGAAGUUAAACGUACGAAAGAAGUAGUACGACGNGAGAGAGACGACGACGACGACGACGGGAGGGAGGAGG